rnacentral:rRNA from 1 species
GACGAACGCUGGCGGCGUGCUUAACACAUGCAAGUCGAACGGAAAGGCCCUGCUUUUGUGGGGUGCUCGAGUGGCGAACGGGUGAGUAACACAUGAGUAACCUGCCCUUGACUUUCGGAUAACUUCAGGAAACUGGGGCUAAUACCGGAUAGGAGCUCCUGCUGCGUGGUGGGGGUUGGAAAGUUUCGGCGGUUGGGGAUGGACUCGCGGCUUAUGAGCUUGUUGGUGGGGUAGUGGUAUACCAAGGCUUUGACGGGUAGGCGGCCUGAGAGGGUGGCCGGCCACCUUGGGACUGCGAUACGGAGCAGACGCCUACGGGAGGCAGCAGUCGGGAACAUGGCACAAUGGGCGGACGCCAGAUGCAGCAACGCCGCGUGCGUGAUGACGGCCUUCGGGUUGUAAACCGCUUUCGACUGUGACGAAGCGUGAGUGACGGUAAUGGGUAAAGAAGCACCGGCUAACUACGUG